rnacentral:lncRNA from 1 species
UCAAAAAUUCGUAUUCAAAAGUAUUGUGAGUUUUUUUUUCUUGAGCAUAAGAAUACUUUGAGCGUAGUUUUUCUGUAAGAUUUUCUCAGAAUAAUAUCCGAUAUUCCAGUCAAAUCUAGUUUCUACUAAGGUAAAGGAUAUUAUUUUAUUUCAAUACUCGUGAGAAAUAUUAUUUCCUUUCCUACUCCAUAUUAUGUAAGCGAUAUUAUUUCAUCUCGUAUUCCUAAAUUUGAACUUACUAUGGUAAGUAUUGCUUCUAUAAUUCCUGAAAUGAUUAAAAAUUUCGCUUCAUCUAAUAUCAUUUCAUAGGAAUAUUGAUCUGAAGUUUUUAAUCAAAUUUGGAACUUUUCAUCACUGAGUACUGUUCACGGGUACUGUUCACAGUUACUGUUCAUGGGUACUGUUCACAAAAAAAAAAAAAAAUUCCUUUCAAGUUAUCUGUUGUGACCCUUAUUCUUGAAAUUGAAUCCAUGUUUUGAUCUUCACUAUAGUUUAUUAUGGAGCGUUUUUAAACUUGAAUUAUCUAAAGUACGAAUCUCUAAUCUUUGUCCGUUUGUCUUACUGGAUUCGUUCUCUAAAAUAUUUUUCAUUAUCCUCAGUCCUUAAUGGUGAUACUUGAUGAAUAUCUUUGGCCUAUAGUGCAAAGAUGAAUGAUUAUCUGAUGAAUAUCUUUGGCCCGUAGUGCAAAGAUAAACAAGUGUUGAGAUGAACAUGACCAACUGGUAAUACAGAUGGAUAUCUUUGGCCCGUAGUGCAAAGAUGAAUAUUUGAUGCAAGAUGUGUAUUGAUUGAUGUUACAGGGAUAGAAUAUUGAUGAUGGACUCUUAAAUUCAUAGAUUAUAGUAGAUUUCAUUCUCUACUUAACUAUUCUAAUGAAUUGUUAUUUGCGCUGCGAAUAUUGAUCUAAAAUUGGUUGUCCAUUAUAUUUUAUCUGAUUUGUUGAAGGCUAACGAUAAAUUGUUGUUCUUUAUCUUAGUCAUAAUAUUCUUUACUGGGCUAGUUGAGCUCAUCCUUUUCCUUUUUGUUCCAUUUUUCUUCUCAGGGGGUGAGAAUGUAGCAGGAACCAGUCGGGGUAAAGAGUGAUGGUCCUAGACAGUUGUUUUAGCAGUCCUCACUAUUUUUGUAAAAUAGUGUAUAAAUAAAUGUAAUGAGGAUUUAUUUGAGUGUGGAUAUUGUCUAGAGGAUAAUAUUUAUAUUUAAACUCACAGUAUUGUGUUGUCGUAUUUUGCACGACAAUUGUAUUAAUGAUGUUGUAGUUGUUUCUGUACCAUGUAUUUGGCGACUCAAAAUGGGUGAUGUAUACUUCUUUUGGGAGCGUCACAAC